GGGACCCUGGAAUCUGGCAGCUGGGGGGGUUUGCAGCGGUUUGUAACCCCCUCCCCUGCUUCUUCCAGGCCCCCCCAGCAGAGCGUCCGGCCCCCCUGCGAGCCCAGGGAGAAGCCGCCGAAGCCAAGGGGCAGCGGCUAAGCGAGGAGCUGCUGGAGGUCCCGCAGCGGGGAGGAAAUCCCGCACCCGCCGGGCGGUGCCUUUCCGGGUCUCCCCGGUGCCCACCCGCCCUCGCCCUGUGGCUGCAGGAGCAGGGGGCUGCCGAGAGGCGGCAGAUCGGCUGGGAGUGGCGGGAGCUGCGAGGGUUUCUGGAGGAGCAGGAGCAGCGGCUGCUGGCCCGGCUGGAGGAGCUGGAGAGAGCCAUUGUCCGGAGAAGGGAGCAGGGCGGCUGCAGCCUGUCCUGGGAGAUUUCCCUGCUCAGCGAGAGGGGAGGAGAGAAGGGGCAGCAGCCGCUGAGCCAGCCCCUGCAGGGCACCGGGAGCUGUGGGGGCAGGGAGGACGGGACGUUUUGGAAGCCAGAGCCGUCGUUUGCGGAGCUGGAGAAGAGACUCAGCGAUUUCUCUCUGAAAAGUGCCAUGCUGCAGGAGGUGCUGCUGGGAUUCAAAGGUGAGUUGGAGUCUGGGGGGGGCCUCUCCAGACCCUGGGGAGGAGUCGGGGGCUCGAGUGAUCUCACU
rnacentral:lncRNA from 1 species